GAUGCUCAGCUUUGACUUGCGUACAAGUCAAGCAUUUGGCUACAUAAGCGGCUACAGACUUUUUCAGGCCUAUCCACCAACAAUUUGCCUUUAGAUCCUGGGCAUCUUAUGGCAAUUCUUAGUUGUUGCUUAAUUAGGUAUGGAGUUUUCGCAAUACUCCAGCCCACAGCGGGAUGUUAAUAUUAAUUCUACCUGCCUUCCAGGAGGUAAGUAGGGAAAACUUAUGAGAAGAUAAUCUAGAUACAGGGAGACUACCGAGAUUUUUUUUUUCAUAUCUCAGGCUCCAGUUCAUUCAUUAUUGUUUGUGCCAAACAAGUGACACAUAUUAGUCCACGAAUUCCAAAUUCGGGAGCAUUUAUUUGGACAAUUCCAUUCUGGAUAUCUUCUUUGAAUACUACUAGUCGAUUUUAGUACAAUAUGACCAUUGGGAUAUCUCAGGUGUUCCAUGUAUUAAACCUCCAUACUGAUCAGGCAUGGAAAUAAUCUAUGGGACACAUUAGGAUACGCCAAUCCUCAUAUGGUACUUUUAUCAAACAUAGUUUGGCAUUCGCAG
rnacentral:lncRNA from 1 species